rnacentral:pre_miRNA from 1 species
AAAACAGCUAUAGGGCUUCUCUUUAUUGGCAGGAAAUUAUCAUGACCACUUCAUCAGAUAUCUUGCCAAAGGAGAGUUGCCCUGUUGCUACUUU